rnacentral:ncRNA from 2 species
UUCUUAUCCAGAGAGGUGGAGGGACUGGCCCUGCGAAACCUCAGCAACCGGCAGAACGCUCUAGGCGUGCCAAGGUGCUAAAUCCAGCAAGCGAGCUUGGGAGAUGAGAA